rnacentral:lncRNA from 1 species
AUGGCGACGGCAGGCGCGAUGUGGAGGCGGCGCGUCCGGCGGUGGCUGCUGCGGCGCGUGGUGGUGUGGUCAUUGAGGUUCGUGGUGGCCGGCUGUUCGACGCUCGGGUGGCGGCUGACGGUGGUCGCCAAAGUUGAUUGGUUUGUCCCACGAAGCCCGGAGUUCCUCGCUGGAAACAUGGUUGACACCGAUGUGUCUGAGCCCUCUCUUCAGAACUUAGUUCCUCUCCAGGCCGACCAUGACUCCUUGGUGCCUCCCCCCUUCCAUUGGUCGUCUACUUCCAGAUCUGGUCGUGCUCUUUUGGUGCUUGAGAAGUUUUUAGGGCUCUUAGGCCUUGCCGGUGCUUCACGUGCCCUGUGGCUGUGUGAACUUGUUGAAGUGCCGAGUUUGGAGCGGUGUGCUUACCCCCAUGGUGCAAGAGUUCCUAUCCUCUUGCUUCUUGGAGAUCCAGCACCUUUGAGGGAGUCCGGGGCGAAAGCCCUGCCUGGUCAUCCAGGAUUGGCAAUAUCGAUGCAUGCGAGUGUCGUUUCCUCCUUAGAGGUGUUGCCUUGUGGACUCUCUCCCCCCUCCCCCCUGUUGAAAACCCAGUCCAGCUGUUGGGCGUGCGUCGACAGCGGCUUAUGUCGUUGUUCACCUCCUUGGAGGCUUCGCCUUAGGGUCUUUCUCUUCCCUCGGCCUUCUACGGUUCAUAGUCUUUUUGCCUCAGACUUUUUGUGUCUUCUGUGUAAAGUUUUUGCCAGUUUCACUUUAGCAAACCGUAUAGUUGUAUGAUUUUUGGGCC